CUCCGCGGUUCCAGAAUUCCCUCCUCCUUCCCCAAAGAACAAUCUGCGGGGGACAGAGCCAAAACCUGGAAAAAUCAUUAAAAAAAAGAAAAAGAAAAAAAAGUAAACACUGCUGCCGAGCUGCCUGCUCCAUGCACUACGACGGGGCAGCGAUCUGGUUGGCAGUUGGGGGUUGCGAAAUACCAUUUCCCGAGGCUGUGAAGGUCCCGUCGGCAGUAACAGCUGUGGCGAGAAAAUCCGAAGAAGUGUCUCCGGCAGCUUCGGGAGCUCAAGCAUGUCCGUGAGAGGGCCUCAAAGUCUCUUCAAAGACCUACGUUAUCUCUACACAGAGAUUCUACUUCUCAUAACAGACAGAGGAUAAACAGCAGUAGGCAUAAUACAUGGAGUUUCCCCCACUCUUAUUCUCCCGGCCUUGGCAUUCCCAGCUACAAGGUUCCUUGAGCAAAUCUACCAUCCUCCUCACCAUUCUUCUACUUUUAAACCUUUCCUCCCAACAGUGUCUGAAGCAGACAACCUUUCAGUGAA
rnacentral:lncRNA from 1 species